UACGUAGGGUGCGAGCGUUAAUCGGAAUUACUGGGCGUAAAGCGUGCGCAGGCGGCGCGUUAAGUCAGGUGUGAAAGCCCCGGGCUUAACUUGGGAAUUGCGCUUGAGACUGGCGUGCUGGAGUGUGGCAGAGGGAGGUGGAAUUCCACGUGUAGCAGUGAAAUGCGUAGAGAUGUGGAGGAACACCGAUGGCGAAGGCAGCCCCCUGGGCCAGCACUGACGCUGAUGCACGAAAGCGUGGGGAGCAAACAGG
rnacentral:rRNA from 1 species